UGGGGUUGUGGCUCAGCGGUAGAGCACUCGUCUCUCACAUGUGAGGCCCUGGGUUCGAUCCCCAGCACCACAU